UAAAAUAUUUUAAUUUUUCCACCAAUACUUAACCAAAAUUUGCAACAUUUCAUUCUUCCCUUCAAACCUAAACCUAUAUCGCGCCGUCCGUAUACCGUCACAACUCCACCACCACUUUCCUCCUCGCCGCUGGGCAUCCAGCCAUCUCUCUCAGCCUCAUCUCCCUCUUCCCCUUCCUCAUCUCUCUCAACCAUCUCUUAGCCUCAUUUCAACACACGGCUUUCUGCCUUUUCUAGCUUGCCCACAAAUCCGGCCAAACCCUCACACGAAUAACCCCCGAGUCCUCAGCUGCUGGAGCAUUCACAGACGUAGGGAAUGGAGAUUGUUCGAUCACAGGGAAUCGACUCAUGCUGUCGCCUCGACAACGUCGGCUAAACUCUCUUUCUACCGCUCCGCGCCUACGCUCGAGGUUCGGCUGGAAGAUUUUGAACUCUACGGCAUAGAUCGCCUCCGAGGUACCUUGCAAAACCUCAUCUUUUCCCAUUUCUAAGGUUUGUGGUUCGUUGUAUACUCCCUCGAGGUCUGGCUGGAAGAUUUUGAACUCUACGCCAUAGAUUGCCUCCGAGGUACCUUGCAAAACCUCAUCUUUUCCCAUUUCUAGGGUUUGUAGUUCGUUGUCUACUCCCUCGAGGUCCGGAUGGAAGAUUUUGAACUCUAUGCCAUAGAUCGCCUCCGAGGUACCUUGCAAAACCUCAUCUUUUCCCAUUUCUAGGGUUUGUGGUUCGUUGUAUACCUCCCCUUCCUUGAUCAACUUCCCUAUCCUGCGUCUGUUUGGCUUUGCUGAGUAAUCGGAGAAGAGCUCAAGAAGCUUUGAGUAGUUGAAGGAUAACUUAGGGAACUUCUGCACAUUUGGAGGGGAGAGUUCAGGGAGCUCUGUGUAAUACCCCACUUGUUCACCACCUGUUCAGGGAGCUCUGUGUAACUUAGGGAUCACAUUCCUCUAAUACCACCUGUUCACCACUUGCUACAACUUAUUGUCUCAGACCAUGUAGAUAUUAUCUUGUGCUUUAAAAAUGUAGAAUUACCUCCACCACAUGUCCAUGUUGUGGGAUCUUCAUCUCUUAAGGUUGAAUAACACAAUCACAGUAAAAGGAACAAAAUCAAUUUAAUAUGGUUCGAAGUAAGCUCACAACAUUUGAAGCCAGAUUCGUUCCAAGUGUGAUUGUGUUCUUGGUUAUUAUCAUAAACUCCUUUUAGUCUAUGAAAACCAUUUGUUGUCGUUGUCUCUCCACAUUUGCUCAUUUUCUCUCAAUAUUAAGUCUUAGAUGUUGGAAUCCUGAUUUAUUUAUUUCAUUUGGCAACAUCUCACAAGUUAUGAUUUCAUCCUCAACAACAACAACAACAACCAAACCUUAUCCCACUAGGGCUAUUAUCAUUUCAUCCUCACAAAUUUCAAAAUCCACAAUUCAUUAAAUUUGAAGGGAAGUAAAAGGAAGAAGAUCGCCAUAAACCUCAACCAAUCAUCAAUGCAAGGUUGUUGUGCUAGUUUUGGCAUUUUCAUUUUCAUUGUUAUCAUGUCUCAGUUCAUUUUAUCUUUUUCUUCUGUGAGAUCUUGUUUAAUUUACAUAAUAAGCUGGAUAUAGAUACAAUUUAUAUUAUAGCUUGAGGAGGAGGACUGUGUGACAUAAUAUAAUUUUUCAUUCCUCUCAAUAGUUGGUUAAUCCUACUUGGACAAGUUCACACUCAGGCCUUAAAGCAUCUAGACCAAUUGAUCAUGACUUAAUUACAUGUGGUUUUUCAUUGGAAUCUAUUAACCACCUACUCAUCAACUCUUAUUGCUUCUCAAGGAUUGAACACACUUAAGGAUGUCAGAAUGAUCUAUCAAAUGCAUCUAAUUUUAGUGUAAGAUUAUGAUUUAUCAUGCUACACAUUUUCUUUUGAACCUUUGACUUAUCAUUUCUAGAUUUUUAAAGGCACGAGGGUUCAAUAUUGAAAAAGCUACUCAUAUGUGGUCUGAGAUGCUCCAGUGGAGGAUCAACUUUGGUGAUGAUACUAUCAUUCAUGAUUUUGUAUUUGAUGAACUCGACGAAGUCCUCCAUUAUUAAGAUUUUGAACUCUACGCCAUAGAUCGCCUCCGAGUCCUACAGGGUAUUUCAGAUGGUUUGCCUCGAGGAAAAAGGCCCGAAGAAAUGGAGAGAUUGGUAACUGAACUAUGGAGGGCACAUAUGAGGCAUCAAGAUCCAUCAGAGGUCAUGAACAAAGAUAUCAUUUCACACUUCGUUCUUCGUCUUGCAUAUUGUAGAAUGGAUGAAUUAAGGAAAUGGUUUCUUUCCAUGGAGACUUCUCUUUUCCGCUAUCGAUUCCGACUAGAAAGCCCUGAGUCAUAGAGGUCACUCAUGUCUGAAUUUCAGCUACCCUAUAAGGCUAUUAGUCAUGCAGAAUUCGAGGCACCCUUUGAAGAAGUGCCAGAAUUAUUUGUUGGCUGCAGGGUUUUCCUAAAAAAGGUUUUGCUUAUGUUGCGAUGCAUCAGAUGUGCAGUAACAUUUGAUAAAUGAUCUAAUAUCCCGCCUUGUGAGGGAGCAAGCAGUUCGUCUGAUCAAGCAAAUAGGAGACAACAUUGUAUCUUUGAUGUUGAUCAGAUUUUUGUCCAAGAAGUUUCAGAGUUUUGAUCCCAAAUGACUCACUAACAUCUAUUAACCAGUUUUUUUAUGUUACUCAAAAUACCAUGCAUUCUCACAAGCAGCUAAUCGGUUUAUAGUUCUCACUUCAAUAAAUGUGUUCCUGAAAUAAAAGACAAUAGUACCAACACUGCAAAGAGAGGGGGGCUUCCGGCUCCAUCGACAAGAUGCAGAGUGGAUGUCUUUUUUUCACCCUGAUUGUUUCUGUUUAAAUUUUGUAUAUGUUUCUCGCAUAGAUUUCAUUUCUAGGUAAAGUUAGCCAGUAGCUUGACGUUACCAUAAUGCUCUCAUUUUCAUCAUGAUGAUAUGUUAAUCUUAUUUUUGCAUUGAAUUCUAUUCAAGACUAUUGUCACUUCUAAUGCUACAUAAUAAAACAGAACGCCAAUCAAGUGAUAUAAUAUCGAUAGGCAUUUGGUUAAUCUUUUUUGGUUGACUAAUGUACCAUGAUUGAUUAUUUUCUAGGCAGUAGAUUCUAGUGGAAUUGCAGCAAAGGCAGGACUUAGGGUUGGAGACCAAGUAUUGUACACAAGCAGCUUCUUUGGGGAUGAGUUGUGGCUUGUUGAUAAGCUGGGUUUUACCAAAACAGUUAUCCAAGCAAAGCCAGACUCUGUUUAUUUUAUAGUAAACAGGGGAGCAGAGGUAGAUGUAAAAAGACUAACUAAGAGGCCUGCUCCUCCUCGAUUUGGUCGCACCUUGAUUGAAGCACAAAAG